rnacentral:rRNA from 1 species
AAGAAAUGACGGGCUGCUAUACAUGCAAGUCGUACGCUUCUUUUUCCACCGGAGCUUGCUCCACCGGAAAAAGAGGAGUGGCGAACGGGUGAGUAACACGUGGGUAACCUGCCCAUCAGAAGGGGAUAACACUUGGAAACAGGUGCUAAUACCGUAUAACAAUCGAAACCGCAUGGUUUUGAUUUGAAAGGCGCUUUCGGGUGUCGCUGAUGGAUGGACCCGCGGUGCAUUAGCUAGUUGGUGAGGUAACGGCUCACCAAGGCCACGAUGCAUAGCCGACCUGAGAGGGUGAUCGGCCACAUUGGGACUGAGACACGGCCCAAACUCCUACGGGAGGCAGCAGUAGGGAAUCUUCGGCAAUGGACGAAAGUCUGACCGAGCAACGCCGCGUGAGUGAAGAAGGUUUUCGGAUCGUAAAACUCUGUUGUUAGAGAAGAACAAGGAUGAGAGUAACUGUUCAUCCCUUGACGGUAUCUAACCAGAAAGCCACGGCUAACUACGUGCCAGCAGCCGCGGUAAUACGUAGGUGGCAAGCGUUGUCCGGAUUUAUUGGGCGUAAAGCGAGCGCAGGCGGUUUCUUAAGUCUGAUGUGAAAGCCCCCGGCUCAACCGGGGAGGGUCAUUGGAAACUGGGAGACUUGAGUGCAGAAGAGGAGAGUGGAAUUCCAUGUGUAGCGGUGAAAUGCGUAGAUAUAUGGAGGAACACCAGUGGCGAAGGCGGCUCUCUGGUCUGUAACUGACGCUGAGGCUCGAAAGCGUGGGGAGCAAACAGGAUUAGAUACCCUGGUAGUCCACGCCGUAAACGAUGAGUGCUAAGUGUUGGAGGGUUUCCGCCCUUCAGUGCUGCAGCUAACGCAUUAAGCACUCCGCCUGGGGAGUACGACCGCAAGGUUGAAACUCAAGGAAUUGACGGGGGCCCGCACAAGCGGUGGAGCAUGUGGUUUAAUUCGAAGCACGCGAGAACCUUACCAGGUCUUGACAUCCUUUGACCACUCUAGAGAUAGAGCUUCCCCUUCGGGGCCAAGUGGACAGUGGUGCAUGGUGUCGUCAGCUCGUGUCGUGAGAUGAUAGGAUAGUACCCGCCACGAGCGCAGCCCUUAUUGUUAGUGCCAUCCAUCCAAUGGGCCUCUACCAGACCUGACGUGACGAACCGGAGAAGAGGGAUGACCUCAUCAUCAUGGCCUCAUGACCUGCUACCCGGUCUCGAUUGCAGUACCAGUGUCAAAGUUCCUAGGCUAGCCUAA